CCUACGGGUGGCAGCAGUGGGGAAUAUUGGACAAUGGGGGGAACCCUGAUCCAGCGACGCCGCGUGAGUGAAGAAGUAUUUCGGUAUGUAAAGCUCUAUCAGCAGGGAAGAAAGUAAUGACGGUACCUGACUAAGCAGCCCCGGCUAACUACGGGCCAGCAGCCGCGGUAAUACGUAGGGGGCAAGCGUUAUCCGGAUUUACUGGGUGUAAAGGGAGCGUCGACGGCGAUGCAAGUCUGAAGUGAAAGGCGGGGGCUCAACCCCCGGACUGCUUUGGAAACUGUAUGGCUAGAGUGCAGGAGAGGUAAGUGGAAUUCCUAGUGUAGCGGUGAAAUGCGUAGAUAUUAGGAGGAACACCAGUGGCGAAGGCGGCUUACUGGACUGUAACUGACGUUGAGGCUCGAAAGCGUGGGGAGCAAACAGGAUUAGAUACCCUGGUAGUC
rnacentral:rRNA from 1 species